rnacentral:rRNA from 1 species
GCGCGAAUCCUUUACAAUGCAGGAAACUGCGAUAAGGGGACACCGAGUGCCAGUGAAUUUCAUUGGCUGUCUUAAUGUCUAAAACGCAUUUAAUAGCAAGGGCUGGGCAAGACCGGUGCCAGCCGCCGCGGUAAUACCGGCAGCCCGAGUGGUAACCACUAUUAUUGGGUCUAAAGGGUCCGUAGCCGGGCCAAUCAGUCUUCUGGGAAAUCUGGCAGCUCAACUGUCAGGCGACUAGGGGAUACUGUUGGCCUUGGGACCGGGAGAGGUAAGAGGGUACUUUAGGGGUAGGAGUGAAAUCUUGUAAUCCUUAAGGGACCACCAGUGGCGAAGGCGUCUUACCAGAACGGGUCCGACGGUGAGGGACGAAAGCUAGGGGCGCAAACCGGAUUAGAUACCCGGGUAGUCCUAGCCGUAAACGAUGUUCGCUAUGUGUCAGGGACGGCGUGACUGUUCCUGGUGCCGAAGGAAGCUGUGAAGCGAACCACUGGGAAGUACGGCGCAAGGCUAGAAACUUAAAGGAAUUGGCGGGGAGCACGUACAACGGGG